UUAUCAUGUCUCGGGUCCGCUCCCUCCAGCCUCUCUCUCCCCUGCCUGCUUUUCACUCCACUGUCCCACGCCGCCUCCCGCUUCCCCCUCGCGCUCGCUGGCGGCUUAAGCAUCUACCGGCGCCCGCUUCCCCCUCGCGCUCGCUGCGGCCUGCUUGCUGCAUGUCACCGUGGGAGGCGAGAUUAGCCGAUCUGGUGUUCUUGCCACUCGGAGAGGUGGUUCUGGGGAGGCGUAGGAGGUACCUCGUUGUCGACACACCACCAAGCCCCUCGGAUCUCCUUCGUCCCCACCACCGUCACCGACACACGGCUCCAGGUUCAGAGAUACCAGGUUCAGAUUGCGCCUGAACUUGGUGAAUGUAUGGAUGAGCCGAGAGUGGCUUGUUCAGUGCAUUGGCAAGUUGAAAUUGGUGAAUGGAGCGCCUGAAAUCGUUCGGCCCAUAGAAGAGCUAAUUUCUUGCUGUCAGUUUCGACGACCUCUGAAACUUUUUCAGCCUGCUUCUCCAUAAAAUUGGGAGGGAAAUCAAGUGAAACCGAGAGUCCAAAAAAGAGGUUUCUCGGGCUCUCUUUAGUUCUCCCCUCUCCCACGAAAAUAAGAGGCCUCAUCCUAAUGGAUGCUUCGGGGCGAUUUGGAUGGUGACCUCUGCUUUAUUACUUGGGAUGACAAACUGAUUCCAAAGAAGGUCGAUCCUAUGGACUACUGCAAUGAGGUCACACAUAAUGGACCAUGCUGUUACACUAGAGAUGCGGUGUCGUGUUUGCUAUUUUUAGGUGAUGUAUAUGUUCAAGAAAAAAACAUGGAAUUGAGUGUGGAAUAGCAGUAGUCUUCUCAUUGGAAUACCUUCUUCCUUUUCAGGCUUCAGAAGAAGAGAAAACUCCUUCAGAUUACCAGAAGACAGGAGAGAAAUGUUUGAGUUGCUUCUGCAUAGAUUAAGAACGAAGUCGAUCAUGGAGGCAAUGGAUGCACUACCGAGUAUCUUUGGAGCUUGCCGGUUGAAGAACAGGCCCCACUGCAAAUCAACAUCUAUGAGCUUAGUUUUUUAGAUAUUUCUUUUGUCUCAUAGGUUAAUCCACAAUCGGUGGCAUGUUGUUGUUUGUUACUUAGAAUUUGAGUCCUCUUUGUGUAAUGUUCUGGAGAUAUAUGAUCACAACAUGAAUGGAGAUAUAUGAUCACAACA